GCCGUGGUCGCAUAACCUGGUAUUGCGCAGGAUUGCUAAUCCUGUGUCCUCACGGACGUGCGGGUUCAAAUCCCGUCCACGGCG
rnacentral:tRNA from 1 species